rnacentral:rRNA from 1 species
UAGGGAAUCUUCCACAAUGGACGAAAGUCUGAUGGAGCAACGCCGCGUGAGUGAAGAAGGUUUUCGGAUCGUAAAGCUCUGUUGUUGGUGAAGGAGGAUAGAGGCAGUAACUGGUCUUUAUUUGACGGUAAUCAACCAGAAAGUCACGGCUAACUACGUGCCAC